CCCUGGGGCUGCUUCUCACACGUCUACCUUAUUUUCAGCUGGUUCUGGAGUUGUGACUCAGGGAGAGCACCGGUGACCUUGUCCAUCCAGCCUCACCUGGACAAAAUCCAUUUGUUAACAGAAUACGUUUAUAAGUUAACUUAUGCUUUAAGUUGAAGAAAAUAUGAACUUUUUCAGCCCUAUGUUGAGGUUGAGUUCAUGUCUGAAGUAAUUUGUUUUGUUUAUGCUUACUGACAGAGUAAUGAUGAUGAGUUGGAGGCUACAGUCUAACUUUGUGGAGUUGGUCCAAACCCUGCUGGAAGACCCUUCUGAGAGGAGGUGUUCCCAGUACAUUAUGGCCCUCAGUAUGACACAGCACUGCAGGUACUGGUGUGGGAGUUCCUCUCCAGAUUGGAGGAGCUGCUACCUGUACCAGACUUCAGACAGGUUAUUUAUCUUACUACACUGCAGAUACCAUCCUGUUCCUCCCUCCAACAAUAAGAGUUGUCAUUAGCUCGGAGCAGGCCAGCUCUGACAAAAUGAGGUCAUGCUCAGAUGGAGAUAAAUGCUUCAAGAAUGGGACAGAGAGAGCAGGAGAUGGAGAAGAGAGUGAAGGACAAUCUAAUGGGGUCAGAGAGGAGGAAAAAGAUAUGCAGACUGAAGAGGACUGGGAAAAGGAAGACUGCAGAAAAUUCUGGUCCGUGUAUCCCAGUAACCAGCAACGGCAUGGAAAU